rnacentral:piRNA from 1 species
UAAGAAUAGGAUGGCACCAUUGCUACUCUU